rnacentral:lncRNA from 1 species
GUUUUGUAAUUUUUGUUGUUGGUGUUCUACAUCACAGCAUCAUGUAAAGCAGUGGGAAUUAAAGAGUUAAUGUUCUGGUUCCGUGGACUGCCUUUUUUGGGCAUUUUGGUUCUUAGAGGGGAGGGGAGGAGCGGCCUUGGUGCCCCUAGGCGGAAAAGUGGAGCUCCUGGAAGGACGCUGGCCUCUCUUGCUGGCUCUCCUUUGGUCCACAGCGGAGAAGCACAUGGCCCCUGUUUGCUUUUGCCUGCAGUCUACAGAGCAAACUCUGAUAGUGACCAGGUUGUUCUUGCAGAGUUCUCUACUUCAUCCCAUCUGUGAAGAGUGAAUGAGUGGCUGUGUUGUACUGAGCUGCCUGCUGGGAUUAAACCACAACAUAGUGAUACUUCACCUAAAUUAGCCAAGAAUACCAUUAGCCAUCUUAGCAGCAAGGGCACACUGCUAACUCAUGUUCAACUUGGUAUCUCCUAGGACUUCCAAGUCUUUUUACUGGACAGCUGCUUUCCAGCCUGGCAGUCACCAGAGUGCAUUGGUGCCUAGAGCUGUUACUCCUGAGGUUCAGGACUUUGCAUUCUCCUUAUUUAACUUAAUGAGAUUCCCUCCACUGGGGGCUGGAGAUUAGUGAUCCUUGAGAUCCCUUCCAACAUGGGCCAUUCUGUGAUUCUGUGUGUAAGAUCAAUUAUGUUUACCAUUUUACAAACAUCUAGUUUACCUGUCAGUCCACUUCUUCAAUCUGUCAAGAUCACUCUGGAUGUCAGCAUGGGUCUUUAGUGAAUCAGGUGCUCCACCCAGUUUUGUUUAUCUACCAUAGGAAGCCUGCUUUACCAGGGGGACUGAGCUAAAUGAUCUCCAGAGGUCCCUUCUAGUUCCUGUGAUUCUGUGAUUCUUUCUUUCAGUUUACUGAGAUGACAUUCUACCCACUGUCCAGAUCAUUAAUUAAGAUUUUAAACAGGAAUGGAUUCAGUACUGAUCUCUGAGGUACUCCACUCAUCACUGAUCUACAACUGGACUUUGCAUCACUAACUACUACCUUCUGGGCCUGUCCAGUUCAGCCAGUAAGCUUUGGGAAUCUCAAGGGCAGUGGUCUGCAGAUUCACAGUUUUUAGUCCAAGUCUUCAUAGUUGCUCAGUUAAAAUACUGGGUGAUUUAAAACAGCGUGCUUGGAAAAUCAUGCAUUAUAAUGCGUAUAUCUCAGUAGCCAAAAGUAGAAUGUGAAUAAAUAUAAAACUAAAAAAUUUCCUUUAAGAAGUUCAUUUAAAUAUUUCUACCUAAUUUGUGUUACAUUAACAACUAUGGUUUGGAAAAGAAAAGAAAACAACAACAACAACAAACAAACAAAAAACGUGAGGAUUUAAAAAAAACAUAUUUAUCGUGAUUAAAAAUGAAAGGAAACCUUGGCUGACUUUGCUUUCAGCAUAUCUUUCUGAUAGAAACACUGUUAAUAAAGCCACAGGCAGUAAAGGGAUCUUGAUUUAAACUGGCAUUAAUUUAUUAACGAACCAGGAUUUCAGGACAUUAGCUAUCUCAGUAGUCUUUACCACGUUUAGUGCAUGACAUGCAAGAAAUUUCUCCUGACAGAAAGCAAAUGUUAACAUAUUUUCUGCAGCAGUCACCACAUCAGAUUGAUUUGGAUAACUAUAAUGCUGUCAGGAUGUUGUUCAUUAUUUGUGCAUUCUGUGAAUUAUAGAAAGAAAAGUGGUUCUGUGAAUUGUUGAACUCAUACUCAUAGGCCUUAACCUUACUUCCUAUAGCUUUGGUCAAAGCCAUUUUAUGUUUAAAUCUCUGUAUCUGCACCACUCUUACACAAAGAUAUUCUGACAAUUAAUUUAACUGAUGUUCACUAGAUAUAUAAUGGGAGUCUGGUCACCAAAGCAGAAAGUUGACUGUAGAAUUCUUUUUUUUUUUUUUUUUUUUUUUUUCCUUUCAAAUCUUUUACAUUUGGUUUUAUAAUUUUCUUUGAACUCAUUGGCAGGUAAUUGCAACAUUUGAUAAACUAGCUAAAUAAAUUUACUAGUAUAAUAUUAUUACUUGAAAACCUACCUAACACCUUCAGAAUGCAUAUGAAUAGAAUGCAAAAUUUGCUUCAGAAUUCAUGUUUAAAUGACUUUGUACAUCUUUUGCUGAUUUUUCAUUUUAAUGUUAAAAAUGUCCUUGAAAAAAAUUCAAUAAUAACUCUGAAGUUCAGGAAGUCUGUAUUAUCA